rnacentral:tRNA from 1 species
CCCCCUGAUAAGGGUGAGGUCGGUGGUUCAAGUCCACUCAGGCCUACCA